rnacentral:antisense_RNA from 1 species
AAUAACCAAAAAUAACACUAGCGCUAAGGGUCAAAUUGGUAAUUAUUUCUUACAACCCCCGGACCCACGUAUCAUAUAUGCUGCCAAAACAAAGAGGCUUGGGUACUAAAAGAAAAGCACCUAGACCUAACAAUUAAGUGAAUAUCCAAAAUUGUAGUAAUUUUAUUUCUAUAUUUCCA